GAAGAUGAGGGCCGAAGACUCAGAUCUAAGUGACCCAGCGAUGAAAGUGCAGCGCAUGGUGACGCACUCUGUGGAGCUUCUGCUGCUGAAUGAGUGAGCUGCUGUCCGGACCAGUGGGAGCUUUUUGAAGCACCUGGGAAUCCUGAAUCUCCAUGGCAGCUGUCUCAAAUACCCAGCUCCCCCGGGAUGCCUGCGGAGACAGACAAAACACACAGGAGCCUGCCAAGCCGGUCCACCAUCGAGCUUUGCUCUCUCUGCAGCAAAGAGCUACAUCUACAGACACCACCACCAAGCGACUGAAGCACUGAUCAAAGCGGAG